rnacentral:rRNA from 1 species
GAAGUGGGAAAAGCUCAAAUUUAAAAUCUGGCAGUUUUGGCUGUCCGAGUUGUAGUUUAGAGAAGUGCUUUCCGNCGCUGUACCGUGUAUAAGUCUCUUGGAAUAGAGCGUCAUAGAGGGUGAGAAUCCCGUCUUUGACACGGACUUAUCAGUGCUUUGUGAUGCGCUCUCAAAAGAGUCGAGUUGUUUGGGAAUGCAGCUCAAAAUGGGUGGUGAAUUCCAUCUAAAGCUAAAUAUUGGCGAGAGACCGAUAGCGAACAAGUACCGUGAGGGAAAGAUGAAAAGCACUUUGGAAAGAGAGUUAAACAGUACGUGAAAUUGCUGAAAGGGAAACGCUUGAAGUCAGUCGCGUUAUCUAGAACUCAGCCUUGUCUCGGCUCGGCGUAUUUUCUAGUUAACGGGCCAGCAUCGAUUUUAACCGAUAGAUAAAGAUUUAAGAAAUGUGGCACCCUUUGGGUGUGUUUAUAGUCUUGAAUUGUAUAUAUCGGGUGGGAUCGAGGAACUCAGCUUCGGCUUAGGAUGCUGGCAUAAUGGCUUUAAACGACCCGUCUUGAAACACGGACCAAGGAGUCUAACAUGCCCGCGAGUGUUUGGGUGGUAAACUCAGGCGCAUAAUGAAAGUGAAAGUCGAGAUCUCUGUCGUGGAGAGCAUCGACGCCCGGACCUGACCUUCUGUGACGGCUCCGCGGUAGAGCGUGUAUGUUGGGACCCGAAAGAUGGUGAACUAUGCCUGAAUUAGGGUGAAGCCAGAGGAAACUCUUGUGGAAGCUCGUAGCGAUUCUGACGUGCAAAUCGGUGGUCAAAU